UUUCUUUUUUCAUAUCUGGAUGCCUUUUUUGUUAUUGCAUGGCUAGAACUUCCAGAGCUAUUUUCUUUUCUUUUUUUUUUAGACAGAAUCAAUCCAGGCUUUUAUUUUCAUUGCAUAUAAAAAUUUCAUAUGAUGGUAUUGAUUGAUGUACAGUACUAUCCCCAUGGGCUGUGAGAGAGGCUAAGAAACCACUAAAAGAAUCAUUUGUAAUGCUCACACACAAUUUACCACUCUGAAACAUAUCCAAAGAAAAUUUUAAAAAUAACUAAAAUCAGUAAGGAUGUAUUUUGUAGUUAUAGUGUUCCGUUUGUACUAUUUAAAACAAAAGUAAUCAAAUUUCUUUGGGCCAGGGCUGCUAAAAUCUACAGUUCAUGUCAAAAAAUAAAAUAAAAUAAAAUAAAAUAGGAGGCUCAUUUUUCCUACAAAAAGAAUCUCUCCUUUCAAGUAAGCCACACAUUUAAGGGCUAGGCAGCAGCAGCAGGUUUCUACACUAUCCACUAGGAAUUAUUCACAACUUUCAGGAGCCACUGUGCAAAGUUAAAUCUAAAUAGGAAUUUUUCACAACCUUUAGAGAAUAAUGAAUCCUUCAUGCUAUGUGAACUGACAGUGUACAAAACUUGAUGUUUAAAAGAAAUUUGGUUAAUUUUAGUUGAAAAUUCUAUGGGUAAAAAAAUGGCCUUUUCUAUAUUGUGGUUUUCUUUAACUUGACAAGAAGCUGGUGAACAGAUGACUAAUCAAGUGACCUAUAGCUCCUGUUUGAAACCAAGUUCAUUGUCAUUUUCCUAUGAGAACCAAACAAAAAAAAGACUUUUCUAGAAUUACUGGAUAAGAACAUAUUUCCCCAGUAGUGUCUGAAAUUAAAAACAAUCAAAUGUUAACUGAAGUAGCUCCUGAUCAACAGCUGGCCGAUAAAUUGUCACACAUGUGGUGCUGCUCCAUGGCAAGAAUUUUUAUCUCAGAAGGGUUGCAGAAUCUUCCAGAGGAUGGUGGUGAUACAUUUGAUAAGACUCAUCUAGAAAACAUGGACAGAGAUUCAAAUACACAUUAAAUAAAGCAGCAGAAGAGGGAAAACCUUCUUAUUCUAACUGGCUGUAAAAAACACAAAUUAACAUGAAAUGUGCAGAUUACUACAAGGACGUGGACUUAUGAAAUGCAAUCGACAGAGCAAAGAGUCAUCAGAAGACACUGUGUAGGAAAAUUUCUAAACAACACUGACCAUUUUAGCUACUGAGUAUUUAUAUAAUCUCCCAUUUGCUUCAGACAACACCAGCUGAUGUUUCUAUGAGGCUUAAAACACAAUGGACAUAAUACACGUCGAAGUAGAACAAAUAUUCACUUUGCACAACAUGAAGAAAAACUUCAGUGGAGAGCAGCUCUGCUUAUUGGGAAAGAUUGAAAUAAAAAUCAAAAUAAAUGAAGACUUACAAAAAGGGUUUCCCGCAAUAUAAAGUUGUUUUUCUGUUUUAAAAUAUGGAAGUCAUUGGCAUAUAAAACAAUGACCACUACAAAUCUGUUAAUUGCUAUGAACUAUA
rnacentral:lncRNA from 1 species